rnacentral:rRNA from 1 species
AUUGAACGCUGGCGGAAUGCUUUACACAUGCAAGUCGAACGGCAGCACAGACUUCGGUCUGGUGGCGAGUGGCGAACGGGUGAGUAAUACAUCGGAACGUGCCCAGUCGUGGGGGAUAACGUAGCGAAAGCUACGCUAAUACCGCAUACGAUCUAAGGAUGAAAGCGGGGGAUCGCAAGACCUCGCGCGAUUGGAGCGGCCGAUGGCAGAUUAGGUAGUUGGUAGGGUAAAGGCCUACCAAGCCGACGAUCUGUAGCUGGUCUGAGAGGAUGAUCAGCCACACUGGGACUGAGACACGGCCCAGACUCCUACGGGAGGCAGCAGUGGGGAAUUUUGGACAAUGGGCGAAAGCCUGAUCCAGCAAUGCCGCGUGUGUGAAGAAGGCCUUCGGGUUGUAAAGCACUUUUGUCCGGAAAGAAAUGGCUCUGGUUAAUACCUGGGGUCGAUGACGGUACCGGAAGAAUAAGGACCGGCUAACUACGUGCCAGCCGCCGCGGUAA